CAGUAGCCGCGGUAAUACGAAGGGGGCUAGCGUUGUUCGGAUUUACUGGGCGUAAAGCGCACGUAGGCGGUUCGAUCAGUCAGGGGUGAAAUCCUGGAGCUCAACUCCAGAACUGCCUUUGAUACUGUCGAUCUCGAGUCCGGAAGAGGUGAGUGGAACUCCUAGUGUAGAGGUGGAAUUCGUAGAUAUUAGGAAGAACACCAGUGGCGAAGGCGGCUCGCUGGUCCGGUACUGACGCUGAGGUACGAAGGCGUGGGGAGCAAACAGGAUUAGAUACCCCUGUAGUCCCUGUCUCUUAUAC
rnacentral:rRNA from 1 species